UACGGGGGGGGCAAGCGUUGUUCGGAAUUACUGGGCGUAAAGGGCUCGUAGGCGGCCAACUAAGUCGGUCGUGAAAUCCCCAGGCUCAACCUGGGAACUGCGUCCGAUACUGGAUGGCUUGAAUUCGGGAGAGGGAUGCAGAAUUCCAGGUGUAGCGGUGAAAUGCGUAGAUAUCUGGAGGAAUACCGGUGGCGAAGGCGGCAUCCUGGACCGACAUUGACGCUGAUGAGCGAAAGCUAGGGGAGCAAACGGG
rnacentral:rRNA from 1 species